UGCAUCUGAAGCCUGACGAGGAUGAGAACCUUCGGGGGCAGGAGGUUCGACUCGAGCGCAGCGAGAGAACGUUGCGUCAGCAACGGCCCUCAGGGCGAGCCACGCAGUGGCGAGUCAUCCUCUAUCACCGACCA
rnacentral:sRNA from 1 species